UUUUCCAAUAUGAGAUUCUCUUUUUCAUUUUUUCCAAUAGAGGAAGGUUCUCUCUUUAUUCUCUUGAGGGACAAGAAAACAUCCAGGUACUUGAUAGGAAAACUACCAUUUUAUUUUGAUUCCUCUUCAAUGAUCUGGAAUUUCUGCGAGGAGCUCUGUUCGAGAGGAAGCACUGGCUCUUAUCGAAAUUGACCUUUUGGCCAUUACAACAUUACAAUCAGCUUCUUACUUCUUUCCAGAAAGAUUUUCUGCUUCUUAAGAUUCCGUUUAUGGCUAUUAUAUAAUAUUAGAACAUCGUUAUCAAAGAGAAAGUAGGAGAGUGCUGGGCACGAUCUC
rnacentral:lncRNA from 1 species